rnacentral:misc_RNA from 1 species
AAAAUAAAUUGUGAUCAACAAACAAAAUGGAACAAAUCUGGUACUACCCUCUUUGAAACUCUACUCUGCUGCUUUUUCCAACAAAACAAUAGCUUAGGCAGCUUGGAAGGCUACUUUUUCUUGUCAUGGACAGCUCAAUCACUGGUUGACAUGGCGCAUGCAAAAAUUGCUCAAGGGAAAAUGAUGCCAGAUAACUUUCAAAUACAAUAUUAAAACACAUAAGCUUUGCACAACUCAAGAGGAAUUCAGUGAAAGCACUAACAGAGCAAUUCUGAAGACGAUAGAAAAUACACAGAUUAUCAAUUGACAUUAAGAUUUCAUUAGUCCUAGACGAAAGUCAAAUAUGAAUGACACAACCGCCAUUGAUACCUAAAAACUAGGAAACAUAAACACUUUAAUGUGAUAUAUGAAUCCCAUGAAAAACCUGAA